UUCACUUGACUUCUGUCUCUCGUGGCUAUGUGAGUGCUUGUGUUUCGUUGAUUUCCAGAAGGUUAGGGAAAACCCGCGAUUGGAUUGUUGCCAUCAAGUGUUUGAUGCUCAUUCACCGUCUUCUCAAUGAUGGUGAUAUUGUGCAAAACCCGUGAUUGGAUUGUUGCCAUCAAGUGUUUGAUGCUCAUUCACCGUCUUCUCAAUGAUGGUGAUAUUGUGUUUCAGCAAGAGAUCAUGUAUGCGACGAGGAGAGGCACCAGGCUUCUCAAUUUGUCUGAUUUUCGCGAUGAGGCUCAU
rnacentral:lncRNA from 1 species